UGUGAGUGAUGAGCCCUUCUUCCCCGACCUUCCCCUGGGGGCACAAACUGAUUUAAUGAGCCUGACAC